UACGUAGGGUGCAAGCGUUGUCCGGAAUUAUUGGGCGUAAAGAGCGUGUAGGCGGCCCGAUUAGUCCGCUGUGAAAGUCCAGGGCUCAACCCUGGAAUGCUGGUGGAUACUGUCGGGCUAGAGUCCGGAAGGGGCGAGUGGAAUUCCUGGUGUAGCGGUGAAAUGCGCAGAUAUCAGGAGGAACACCAAUGGCGAAGGCAGCUCGCUGGGACGUGACUGACGCUGAGACGCGAAAGCGUGGGGAGCAAACAGG
rnacentral:rRNA from 1 species